GGACGAACGCUGGCGGCGUGCCUAAUACAUGCAAGUCGAACGGUCUUUCUAUGGAAGCUUGCUCCACUGAAAAGAUAGUGGCGAACGGGUGAGUAACACGUGGGUAACCUGCCCAUAAGAGGGGGAUAACAUCCGGAAACGGGUGCUGAUACCGCAUAGUUUUCUUGAUCGCAUGAUCGGGAAAGGAAAGACGGCCUUUGUGCUGUCGCUUAUGGAUGGACCCGCGGCGUAUUAGUUAGUUGGUGAGGUAACGGCUCACCAAGACGAUGAUACGUAGCCGACCUGAGAGGGUGAUCGGCCACAUUGGGACUGAGACACGGCCCAAACUCCUACGGGAGGCAGCAGUAGGGAAUCUUCCGCAAUGGACGAAAGUCUGACGGAGCAACGCCGCGUGAGUGAAGAAAGGUUUUCGGAUCGUAAAACUCUGUUGUCAGAGAAGAACAAGUUGGAGAGUAACUGCUCCAGCCUUGACGGUAUCUGACCAGAAAGCCACGGCUAACUACGUGCCAGCCGCUGC
rnacentral:rRNA from 1 species